rnacentral:tRNA from 1 species
GGAAGGGUGUCUGAGCGGCCGAAAGAGGCGGUCUCGAAAACCGUUAGGCGCUGCAAGGCGCCUCGAGGGUUCAAAUCCCUCCCCUUCCGCCA